UACGUAGGGUGCAAGCGUUGUCCGGAAUUAUUGGGCGUAAAGAGCUCGUAGGUGGCCUGUCGCGUCGGCUGUGAAAACUCGGGGCUCAACUCCGAGCUUGCAGUCGAUACGGGCAGGCUAGAGUUCGGCAGGGGAGACUGGAAUUCCUGGUGUAGCGGUGAAAUGCGCAGAUAUCAGGAGGAACACCGGUGGCGAAGGCGGGUCCCUGGGCCGAUACUGACACUGAGGAGCGAAAGCGUGGGGAGCGAACAGG
rnacentral:rRNA from 1 species